UACGAUCCGCUGAGGUUAAGCCCUUGUUCUAAAGAAUUGUUCAAC
rnacentral:rRNA from 1 species